rnacentral:lncRNA from 1 species
CGAUCAUACCAACAAUAAUGCACCGGAUCCCAUCAGAACUCCGCAGUUAAGCGUGCUUGGGCGAGAGUAGUACUAGGAUGGGUGACCUCCUGGGAAGUCCUCGUGUUGCACCUCUCCCAUUUUAUUUCAUAUAAUUUUUUUUAGUUGCAUUUUCUCGACGUGGUGUAACUCAAUCGUUAUUUGCGAUUUGUGAAAUAAACACUUUGAAAGAUAUUCGGUCGAAUUUGCAUUUAAAUUCGAGGCGCAAGUGUGAUCAGGGGCAGCCUUUAUAUGAAUAGAUUGCGCAAGAGUUGACGGUUGCGAUCAUACAAGCAAUAAUGCACAGGAUCCCUUCAGAUCUCCGCAGUUAAGCGUGCUUGGGCGAGAGUACUACUAGGAUGGGUGACCUCCUGGGAAGUCCUCGUGUUGCACCCCUCACAUUUUAUUUGAUAUAAUUUUUUUUAGUUGCAUUUUCUCGACGUGGUGUAACUCAAUCGUUAUUUGCGUUUUGUGAAAUAAACAAUUUGAAACGAUAUUUGAUCGAAUUUGCAUUUAAAUUUGAGGCGCAACUGCGAUAAGGGGCAGCCUUUAUAUGAAUAGAUUGCGCAAGAGUUGACGGGUGCGAUCAUACCAGCACUAAUGCACCGGAUCCCAUCAGAACUCCACAGCUAAGCGUGCCUGGGCGAGAGUAGUACUAGGAUGGGUGACCUCUUGGGAAGUCCUUGUGUUGCACCCCUCCUAUUUUAUUUCAUAUAAUGUUUUUUUUAGUUGCAUUUACUCGACGUGGUGUAACUCAUUCGUUAUUUGCGUUUUGUGAAAUAAACAAUUUGAAACGAUAUUUGGUCGAAUUUGCAUUUAAAUUCGAGGCGCAACUGCGAUAAGGGGCAGCCUUUAUAUGAAUAGAUUGCGCAAGAGUUGACGGGUGCGAUCAUACAAGCACUAAUGCACCGGAUCCCAUCAGAACUCCGCAGUCAAGCGUGCUUGGGCGAGAGUAGUACUAGGAUGGGUGACCUCCUGGGA